CAUAUAGCUCAGUCGGUAGAGCACUUCCUUGGUAAGGAAGAGGUCACCGGUUCAAAUCCGGUUAUG
rnacentral:tRNA from 8 species